UGUUGGGAAGGGNGAUCGGUGCGGGCCUCUUCGCUAUUACGCCCAGNUGNCGAAAGGGGGAUGNGCUGCAAGGCGAUUAAGUUGGGUAACGCCAGGGUUUUCCCAGUCACGACGUGUAAAACGACGGCCAGUGAAUUGUAAUACGACUCACUAUAGGGCGAANUNGGGCCCGACGUCGCAUGCUCCCGGCCGCCAUGGCGGCCGCGGGAAUUCGAUUAGAGUUUGAUCCCUGGCUCAGGAUGAACGCUGGCGGCGUGNNNNNCACAUGCAAGUCGAACGAAGCAAUCAGAAUGAAAUUUUCGGAUGGAUUUCUGGUUGACUGAGUGGCGGACGGGUGAGUAACGCGUGGAUAACCUGCCUCACACUGGGGGAUAACAGUUAGAAAUGGCUGCUAAUACCGCAUAAGCGCACAGUACCGCAUGGUACGGUGUGAAAAACUCCGGUGGUGUGAGAUGGAUCCGCGUCUGAUUAGUUAGUUGGCGGGGUAACGGCCCACCAAGACAGCGAUCAGUAGCCGACCUGAGAGGGUGACCGGCCACAUUGGGACUGAGACACGGCCCAAACUCCUACGGGAGGCAGCAGUGGGGAAUAUUGCACAAUGGGCGCAAGCCUGAUGCAGCCAUGCCGCGUGUAUGAAGAAGGCCUUCGGGUUGUAAAGUACUUUCAGCGGGGAGGAAGGGAGUAAAGUUAAUACCUUUGCUCAUUGACGUUACCCGCAGAAGAAGCACCGGCUAACUCCGUGCCAGCAGCCGCGGUAAUACGGAGGGUGCAAGCGUUAAUCGGAAUUACUGGGCGUAAAGCGCACGCAGGCGGUUUGUUAAGUCAGAUGUGAAAUCCCCGGGCUCAACCUGGGAACUGCAUCUGAUAAAUCACUAGUGAA
rnacentral:rRNA from 1 species